CGGAGUCCAGUUUCAGAGCCCGGGAACUUCCUGGGCUGGGAUAGGCCCUGCGUGUGACCGUAGGAGGAGCUGGACUUCCCGGAGGAACGCCUGGAGCAGAGGAGAAGAGACGAGGAGCCCAGAGUCACCUUGUGGGAGGGAACGCUGAGAGUCGGAGACGAGGCAGAGGGCACAGACGCUCCCGGUUUCCGCAUCAGGGGCUCUGAGGCCAGCAGGGAGGGGCUGCGUGGUGAGAAGCCAGCUGUGCCUGAGCUGGUGUUAAGUCAGGUUGACAGCACGUGACCCCGCCACCUGCCACAGACUCGAUGGCCAGCCCUCCUCAGAACCGUCGAGGUCAUCAAGGGAAAGGGAAGUGGGAGAAAGUGUCACAGCCAAGAGGAGCUGAAGGAGAGUGAGGAUGGAAGGUGACGUGGGAUCCGGGGUGAGGUCCUGUCACAGGACAGGGAGCUGAGGGAGAGUUGGGGAAUCCGAGCCAGCUAGGGGCUUGCUAACCUCGGGAACCUGCUGGCUCAUCCAUUAGGGCGGGUGAGCCUCUCCCGAGGAGGAACGGGACACAGGCCCGGGGUGCAUGGAUGGCUCCAGACUUCUUCGAAAGUUUUCCAUACGUCAAAGCCUGUUCUAAAAUAAUAAGUGUAUUUUAAAGAAAGAAAGGAACACAGAAAUACUUCCCAGUGCAGCAGCCCUGUGGCGACAACUCAGGCCCCCGUGACAACCGCUCUCUGAGAAGUCCGUGUCCCCACAGCCGGCAACAGGUGCCCUGCUGGCACCGCAGAUCAGAUGGGCACCGUCUCCCGGCCCAGCCCGGGCAGAGCCUUCCUAACCGUCCUGGCUGCCCUGGCCUGAUGACUCAGCUGAGUAGGGGCCCUGGGCAGUGCUCGGGACAUCCCUGCCCUCCUCCCUAGAGCCAGUUCACAGGCCAGGCUGGAGGGUCUGGUUCUUAGACCCUCUAGGCCAGGGAUCCCCUCUUCGAUGUGGGGAAACUGAGGCACGGGGGAGUUGCCUGACCAUCCACCAGGAUGUGCACGCCCCCGCCCCCCCGCCCGGGCACAGACUUGGCCUCCUGCACCCCGGCACCUGGGGCAGCCACAGCUCAGAGCUGCGAGGCGGUGUCCGAGCUCUGGGACCCUGUACAGGAGGGAGUCGGGGCAGGAGCCUAAACCUCACCAUGGCCCAGGGAGACCAGGCCCGGGGACACGGAGGCCUCCUCA